ACAUGCCUACAAAAUAACGUUAAUGCAUUGGAUCCCAUUAGAAAUUCACAGUUAAGUGCACUCAAGAUAGAGUAGUAUUGGGAUGGGUGACCUUUCAGGAAGUCAUAUUGUUUUACAUGCC
rnacentral:rRNA from 1 species